rnacentral:rRNA from 1 species
UGGGGAAUAUUGGACAAUGGGCGAAAGCCUGAUCCAGCCAUGCCGCGUGUGUGAAGAAGGUCUUCGGAUUGUAAAGCACUUUAAGUUGGGAGGAAGGGCAGUAAAUUAAUACUUUGCUGUUUUGACGUUACCGACAGAAUAAGCACCGGCUAACUCUGUGCCAGCAGCCGCGGUAAUACAGAGGGUGCAAGCGUUAAUCGGAAUUACUGGGCGUAAAGCGCGCGUAGGUGGUUCGUUAAGUUGGAUGUGAAAUCCCCGGGCUCAACCUGGGAACUGCAUUCAAAACUGACGAGCUAGAGU